UUAUGAUGAAGAUACCGAAAAAAAAAAAAAUGUUUUAUCUGACUUUUCUGACCUGUUUCCGUGAUAGCAAUCCAGCUCUUCUCUUGUGUACAUUUUUUGUUCUUAGCAAAGUACGACCAGACGCUGAGUGAAGGAAAUUCACGUAGAGCCCAGGAUGUAUACUGUGCAAUAACCGUAUGAUGGAAUGGCGGAAGAGGAGUUUGAUAGGCAGUUGAUGUGCGAUGAACCCGAAGUGAUACAAAAAGUCAUCGACAUUUCAUCACAAAUGUUGAUCAGCUUAAGGAAUCUAUGCGAGACUCGCGCAGAACUUACUCAACAUGAAAUUAGAACUCUAGAAGGUAAACUAGUGAAGUUGUUUUCAGUACAGUUGAAUAAUAGGCAUAAAAAUCCAGGGCGGUUUGAUUGUCAAAAACUAAGAAACUCGCCUUCUAUAAAUCAAUGGCUAGAAGUUGUAGGACUUAGUACACUUUCUGUACAAAGAAUAUGUGAAAAUAUCAGUUCUAUUGAAGCGUUAUUGUUAAAAUCUGAGAAUGAAUUGAAAUCAAUUCUCCCAGAAUACUCUCUCAAAGAUGAAGAACUUAGACGAUUAACUAGAGCAUCUUAUAAUUUGAAAAAAUAUAGUGAAACUAUAAGGAUUGGAAAUAGAACUCGAGAAAAAUGUAAAAUUACAUUAUAUUGGGAUUCUUGGUAUCGACAAUAUGAAGUUCGUUGUGAACAAGCUGGACAUUCUCCAUCAUCUGUCCAAGGUCAUUCUCCUUCUUCAUCUUGUCGCCCUAGAAAUGCUCAUUUAAAUCAUUACACUCCACCUAUAACCCCUACUUUAAUCAAUCAUAAUCAUAGAACCAGUGAUAGUCCUAUUUCUAUUUUAACAUCACCAAAAAGUCGACGGAAUUUAAAUCCUGAUGUAGUUUUUUCGAAUGGAUUAACAACUCCACAAUCUCCAAAACCUUUAGUUCCUGAUAUUUGUGUUAAAACUGGUCACAAUUUUUCAAAUUUACUCCCUAUGCUAGGUUAUUGUGAACAAUGUUCUGUACGAGUAUUUGUGGGUGUUAAGUGUAAAAUUUGUAAAUUUCGAUAUCAUAAGGGAUGUUUGUCAAAAGUUCCAUUACAUUGUACAAAAAAUGCUGCAACAGAAGAUAAUGACCCAACUUUUGAUGAGCUAAUUUGUUCAUCAGCUAAUCACUCUCCUAAUAUUAAUCGCCCUACUUCACACAAGACUUCUUCUUCAUUAUUAUCAAAGAGAAAAACCAGAAUACCAUCUAUAAAUUCAAUACCAGUUUCUUCUAAAAGUGGUGGAGCUGAAUCUAGUUCUGCCCCAUCUAGUACAAAUAGUUCUACACCUUCAAGUCCUGCUUUAAACAAUCCCAGACAAAUACACGUUUCUUCUUUACCAACACCAGCUAUCACUAAUGAAAAAUUCAACUAUCCUGACACCCCUAUUUAUUCGCAAGAAUUACAGAAAAACCAAUCUAGAUUUACUGAGUCAUCAAGAUGUGGGAGUACAGAUUCAGAACAAACAUCAAUUAGAAUGGAUUCUUCUGAGGCUCAAAAUUGGGAUACCGAUGAGAUGGAAACAAGAGGUUGGCCAAGACAAAAUAGCUUAUCUCUUCAAGAAUGGGACAUACCUUGGGACGAAUUAAACAUGUGUGACAAAUUAGGAGAAGGCCAUUUUGGUACUGUAUAUAGUGGAAAUUGGCAUGGGCCAGUUGCUAUCAAAGUAAUAAAUAUGGAUUACUUAGAUUAUGAAAAAACAUUAGAAGCAUUCAAAGCUGAAGUGGCCACCUUUCGUAAAACUCGUCAUGAAAAUCUCAUUUUAUUUAUGGGUGCCUGUAUGAAGCUUCCUAGAUUAGCUAUUGUAACAAGUCUUGCAAAUGGCAUGACAUUGUACAGACAUAUACAUGUGCUCAAAGAUAAAUUUAAUAUGAGUCGCACCACAAUGGUUGCUCAACAAAUAUCACAGGGUAUGGGAUAUUUACAUGCAAAAGGUAUUAUACAUAAAGACCUUAGAAGUAAAAAUAUAUUCUUAGAAAAUGGGAAAGUCAUAAUUACUGACUUUGGUUUAUUCAGUGUUACUAGAUUAUGUUUCCGCAAUAGAACUCAAGAUGGCCUUAUUGUGCCACCAGGCUGGUUAUGUUAUUUGGCACCAGAACUAGUCCGUAAUUUGCGUGUUCACCAAAGACCUGAGGAAGAAGAUUUACCGUUUAGUAAAGCAUCAGAUGUAUAUGCUUUUGGAACUGUUUGGUAUGAACUAUUAUGUGGUGAAUGGCCAUUCAAGUCAGCCAGUCCAGAAGUUAUUAUUUGGAACAUUGGACGUGGUAUGAAACAAAGAUUAGCCAAUUUAGAAGCAUCUGGUGAUGUUAAAGAUAUAUUAAUGACUUGUUGGUCGUUUAACCCUGAAAAAAGACCAGAUUUUGCUCAAAUGCUUAAAACACUUGAACGAUUACCACGUAAACGUUUAGCACGUAGUCCAUCACAUCCAAUUCAUUUAUCAAGAUCAGCAGAAUCUAUAUUUUAAGAAAUAGUUUAACAGUAUUAUAACGUGGCUAUACCAAUGACUUUACUUAUUUAUAUGGUAUAAUAACUUUUUGUAACAAAACAACUUACAGAGCUCAGUUAUACAGAAACAAAAAUAUGCAUGAAUAAUAUUCAAUUUUGUUACCAUGAUUAAAAACAGUUAUUAUGCUUGAAUACAUUUUGUUAUAAUUGUGCAAAAUCAUAUAAACAAUAUACUUAAAAAUUAAGACAAUAUCCUAGUAUACUCACUCAAGUAUAAACAUAGCUUGUUCAAAUAUUGUAAGAAUUUUUGCAUAUUCAAAUCUUUUCAUAUUUUAUUAUAUUAAAAACAUUAUAUUUAUGUAAAAUGUAUAGCUGAUGAAAUUCUUGUCAAAUUUUGGAGUUGUGAAUGACAUCAGUUUUGACUGGCACCAUUUACAAGAAGAUAGUAUUAUUUGAAAUAGUAAUUUGUUACUUUAUAAUACAAAGUAACUUUGAUUUAAAUAUUUAUUGUUAAUGCAAAAUUAAUGUUAAUGUAUAUAAUAAUAUACCAAUCUACUAUUCAGUUUCUAACCAAAGAUUAUUAUAUAUAUAUAUAUAUACAAAUAAUUAAUUUUAUUUAA